rnacentral:lncRNA from 1 species
ACCUUGGAUAAUUUACUUGAUUUCUCCCUUUCUAGUUCUUUUUCUGUAAAAUGAGGAAGAGAAUGGUAAAGUCUCCUUUGCAUUACUGUGAGGAUUGCCAAAGGUCUGGAUCACAGUUGGUUCUCCCGUGGGAAUCAUUGCCAUCACCGUCAUUGCCUUGUGUACGGCCUUCACGCGUUUCGCCAGCUUCUGUGUCAUUGGUGACAUCAUAAAAUCAGGGAAAGGGAAAUCUGUAAACACUGGCCGUUGAAGAAUACGGUUUCUGAGAAUUUCCACUCUGAAUUCACAUUCCGUUCAGUGUUAUCGCCACCCUGUGGAUUUCUUGGGUAAUGAAACUCAGACCGGGAAAUGAAAACGGGGAUUUUCAGUAAAUCGGUUCCAGUAAAUCUCUGCUGCUCUUGUGGGCGCCCUCUUUUGAGCACCGGAGGAAUGAGCACCGUUCUUCAUUCUUUUGGUUUUGUAAAGUUGUAGAGCUGCGUUCAUAACUACCUCGCUGGCUUUGAGCACAACCCAGGAAGAAGUUUGAAACCAAGAAAAUGGUGGUUGGGAAGACCAGGAUGCGCAAUGGCAAGUUGAGGGCAAGCGGGGUACGUGUCCUGAAUUUAUAGAAUCUUUUGACACAAAGCAAGAGAGCCACAGUCAAGACUCAAGUCAAAAGAAAUUUAGACCCCAUCUGGGCAAACAGGCCUCUAAGCAACAAUCUAAGAUUUCCACCUAUUGUUCUGGCAUUCCUUGUAUAAAUGAUUAUGACUGCAGAGAUCUUAGGAAGUGCUGUGGUACCUUUAGAUGUGGCCUGAGGUGCAUACAUCCUCUUAUGAUUGGCCCUGUAUUUUUCAAUUCACCUCCACAAUCCAAGGCAUAAAUAUUGGAUGGAGAAAUGGAUUCAGAUGGAGGCAUCAUUGAGCUUAUUCUUGACUCAUCUCAGUCCAAACAUUACUCUGUCAAUCGUUGUUCUUAAAAUCUGCAUAUUAAAAGCUCAGCAUCAACUA